GAGACACCCUUCUGGGGCAAGACUUGCUUCAGUAGGGCUUUGGUGCUCACUGAGUCUGCCCCGAGUGUGUCUCU
rnacentral:pre_miRNA from 1 species